UUGGGAAUCUUGGACAAUGGGCGAAAGCCUGAUCCAGCCAUGCCGCGUGAGUGAUGAAGGCCUUAGGGUUGUAAAGCUCUUUUGCCAGGGAUGAUAAUGACCGUACCUGGAGAAUAAGCCCCGGCUAACUUCGUGCCAGCAGCCGCGGUAAUACGAAGGGGGCUAGCGUUGUUCGGAAUUACUGGGCGUAAAGCGUGCGCAGGCGGUUUCUCAAGUCAGGGGUGAAAGCCCGGAGCUCAACUCCGGAAUUGCCUUUGAAACUGUGAAGCUAGAGUGCGGGAGAGGUGAGUGGAAUUCCCAGUGUAGAGGUGAAAUUCGUAGAUAUUGGGAAGAACACCGGUGGCGAAGGCGGCUCACUGGCCCGUUUCUGACGCUCAUGCACGACAGCGUGGGGAUCAAACA
rnacentral:rRNA from 1 species